CUCUCCCUGCACGUAGGCACCAAGGAAAGGUCAUCUGAGGACAUCACCCGGAAGAGCGCUGUCAGCAGAACCCGAUGUGCAGCCUCUCCGACCUCAGACCUGCAGCCUCCAGAACCACAAGAAAUAAAUGUUCAAGCCACCAAAUCUAUGGUAAUUUGUCAUGGCAGCCUGAGCUGAACACAUUUGCUUCUCUGUCCCCGGUGCGAUGAGAUUCGUCACCACCACCACCAGCACUACCACCAUCACACCACUCACCCCCGGAGCCUCCUACAUACUCCUCCCAAGUCCCAGGACUAUAGAGCUGUCUACAAACUGAGAAGAGCCAGGAAUGGCACACAUCCCUGGGUGCUGAUGCUGAUUUGAUGUGAUGUUUUGGGUACUGAUGAAUGGAAGAGAUCUUGCCAUGGACCACUUGGUUCUGGCUACUUAUCCAGGAUUAUGUCUUCUGCCCACAAGGCAGGGCCCCUCGAAGUACAUGCAGACCCUCCCGGCACUCUUAGUGCACACAGUCUUCUGGUCUUCUGUGUUGGCUCCUGUCCGGGCCCCGUAGUCCAAUGCCCAGCUCAUCGCAAUGUCCACAUCAGCACGGGGCUUUUCUUGCUGCCUGAUUAUGGAAACUCUUUACCAUCUUGUGUAGCCUGUGGGGUUUUUUUUCAUAGUUUCUUUUCCCGUAAAACUAUGUGAGUGAGCCAAGAUCGCACCACUGCACUCCAGCCUGGGCAACAGGGAGAAUUGUAAUUAGCUUUCUACCUUAAUUUCUACCUGUAAUUAGCUUUCUACCUUAGCUCCAAGAUGCUCCCACCUUCCCUGUCUGCCACUAUACAGACGCACUCCCCUAAGCACCUUCAAGUUGCCUAUGCUUAAGUCUCAUAUGUCACCCUGGGGUCCAUGUUUUUGCUUGAAAUCCACUAAAAAAAAAAAAGCCAUACAUUAUAAUCCCUCAGGCCCUCAUUAACAGCUGAGUCCAAACAUCUAGCAAAUUACCAUAGACGUGAAGCAAAAUCUCAUUGGUAAGUCUGAGUUGCCCAAUGAGGGUUUACAAGAAUACAUUCACGUUUUCUAACUUCAUUACCUUUUCUUACUUGAAUUUCAGGAGAGCACAUGGUAAGAUCUGGAGCAGGAAAGUGAAGUCUCUUUUUUAUUUCAAGGUCGCAGUAUUUAUAAAACGUUCUCUCUUGCUCUCCUUCUGGGAAAUCUGCAGUCUCAGAAAUGUCAAAGUGACUCAAAUCAAUUGCCAAGCAGCAUGACGAGAUUAGACUGAAUUUAAAGCCCUUUCUGGAGGAUCUGGGGUUGACCGCAGGCACCCGUCACAAAAACGAAAUUCUGAGUGUGCCUGACAAUCAU
rnacentral:lncRNA from 1 species